rnacentral:rRNA from 1 species
UACGAAGGAUGCAAGCGUUAUCCGGAUUCAUUGGGUUUAAAGGGAGCGUAGGUGGCCUUAUAAGUCAGUGGUGAAAUCUCUGGGCUUAACCCAGAAAUUGCCAUUGAUACUGUAGGGCUUGAGUAUAGUUGCCCGUUGGCGGAAUAUGACAUGUAGUGGUGAAAUACAUAGAGAUGUCAUAGAACACCGAUUGCGAAGGCAGCUGACGAAACUAUAACUGACACUGAGGCUCGAAAGUGCGGGGAUCAAACAGG